rnacentral:piRNA from 1 species
UAUAGCUGUUGUUUUCUUCGU